rnacentral:lncRNA from 1 species
AGUUCCUCAUUUUUUGGGCUCAAUCCGAUAUCGAUUGGUCCAUGAAAUUGGACAAUUCCCCAACUUUUGGACUCAAUCCGAUAUCAAUUGGUCCAUGAAAUUGAACAAUUCAGGUUCGUACAAAGUUCGUUAUAAAAUGGAGUGGCUGGUGUACUGCAUCGUUCUAGAGAUUGGAUCCCACUCAAAACCCACCAAAUGACUUCUCCCACCAUAUUAUGAUGUUCCCCAAGCUUUUA